rnacentral:rRNA from 1 species
GAUGAACGCUGGCGGCGUGCCUAAUACAUGCAAGUCGAGCGAACAGACGAGGAGCUUGCUCCUCUGACGUUAGCGGCGGACGGGUGAGUAACACGUGGAUAACCUACCUAUAAGACUGGGAUAACUUCGGGAAACCGGAGCUAAUACCGGAUAAUAUAUUGAACCGCAUGGUUCAAUAGUGAAAGACGGUUUUGCUGUCACUUAUAGAUGGAUCCGCGUCGCAUUAGCUAGUUGGUAAGGUAACGGCUUACCAAGGCAACGAUGCGUGGCCGACCUGAGAGGGUGAUCGGCCACACUGGAACUGAGACACGGUCCAGACUCCUACGGGAGGCAGCAGUAGGGAAUCUUCCGCAAUGGGCGAAAGCUUGACGGAGCAACGCCGCGUGAGUGAUGAAGGUCUUCGGAUCGUAAAACUCUGUUAUUAGGGAAGAACAAAUGUGUAAGUAACUAUGCACGUCUUGACGGUACCUAAUCAGAAAGCCACGGCUAACUACGUG